rnacentral:tRNA from 1 species
GGAAGUAUGGCUCUAAUAGUAGAGCAUCUGCCUAGCAAGCUCAAGGCCCUGAGUUCAAACCCCAGUACCACCA